CCAGAAAGAUGUACAUUUAAUCUCAAAUACUGAUCAUUUAUUUGGUUUCUCACUCAUCUUUAUUCUCUAGGUCUUUCUGUUCCAUGGGACACCCCCUAUGAGGAAACAGAGGAGCUUGUGUUAACUUUCCUUGCAGCCACCUUCAGUAGAAUUCACACCACAAAAUGCUUGGGCCCUAGCAGCUCUUGAUCCACGUGCUGGGACUUCUUCCUCUAAUAGGUUCCAUUGCUGCUGCUGCUGCUGUUGUCAUAGCUGAAGCUGUGAUGUCACAGCUGAAGUUGUGCCUGUCUCACCAUCAUAGGUCUACCGUGUCAUGCCUGUCCCUGCAUAUUUGCCAUGAUCCUCUGUGGAAAGUGGCACCGUGUGUAGGCUGACCAACCAUCCCCAUUUGCCUGGGACCAUCCAAGUUUUCGCACUGAAAGGCCUGUGUCCCAGGAAAUCCUGCACCCCUGGACAACUGUGAUGGUUGGUCACUGGGACAUUUACACAUUGGCUGAACCUUCACUCAGGCAGUGCAUUGGAGAUUCUGCAUACCCCAACUCCUAUGUCAGGCAUUAGGUCCACUGUCUGCUUCUUUCCUUCACAACAUUUUUCAGGAGCAUGUGGGUCAAUUUCUCCCACUGGACUCUGCACCAGUUUCCUGGAGAAAUGAGGUGGCUAAGCCUGCAUCAUUUCUUCUGGUGGCCCGUACAGUCAUCUUGCUUCACUGGCUUGUGAGCUGAAGUUCUAAUGUUGCAAAGCCGAGCAUAGUUGUGGUGGCAGCUGGAGCAUUUUUUGGCAUAGCUUCGAAGGCAGUGAAAGGAGGCUUCGGU
rnacentral:lncRNA from 1 species